rnacentral:rRNA from 1 species
CUCAGACGAACGCUGGCGGCGUGCUUAACACAUGCAAGUCGAACGAUGAACCACUUCGGUGGGGAUUAGUGGCGAACGGGUGAGUAACACGUGGGCAAUCUGCCCUGCACUCUGGGACAAGCCCUGGAAACGGGGUCUAAUACCGGAUACUGACCAUCUUGGGCAUCUUUGAUGGUCGAAAGCUCCGGCGGUGCAGGAUGAGCCCGCGGCCUAUCAGCUAGUUGGUGAGGUAAUGGCUCACCAAGGCGACGACGGGUAGCCGGCCUGAGAGGGCGACCGGCCACACUGGGACUGAGACACGGCCCAGACUCCUACGGGAGGCAGCAGUGGGGAAUAUUGCACAAUGGGCGAAAGCCUGAUGCAGCGACGCCGCGUGAGGGAUGACGGCCUUCGGGUUGUAAACCUCUUUCAGCAGGGAAGAAGCGAAAGUGACGGUACCUGCAGAAGAAGCGCCGGCUAACUACGUGCCAGCAGCCGCGGUAAUACGUAGGGCGCAAGCGUUGUCCGGAAUUAUUGGGCGUAAAGAGCUCGUAGGCGGCUUGUCACGUCGGUUGUGAAAGCCCGGGGCUUAACCCCGGGUCUGCAGUCGAUACGGGCAGGCUAGAGUUCGGUAGGGGAGAUCGGAAUUCCUGGUGUAGCGGUGAAAUGCGCAGAUAUCAGGAGGAACACCGGUGGCGAAGGCGGAUCUCUGGGCCGAUACUGACGCUGAGGAGCGAAAGCGUGGGGAGCGAACAGGAUUAGAUACCCUGGUAGUCCACGCCGUAAACGGUGGGCACUAGGUGUGGGCAACAUUCCACGUUGUCCGUGCCGCAGCUAACGCAUUAAGUGCCCCGCCUGGAGA